CCCUUAGAUGUUCGGGGCCGCACGCGCGCUACACUGAAGGACUCAGCGUGUCUCUCCCCCUAUCCCGAAAGGGAUGGGCAACCCGUUGAACCUCCUUCGUGCUAGGGAUUGGGGUUUGCAAUUAUCCCCCAUGAACGAGGAAUUCCCAGUAAGCGCGAGUCAUCAGCUCGCGUUGAUUACGUCCCUGCCCUUUGUACACACCGCCCGUCGCUACUACCGAUUGGAUGGUUUAGUGAGACCCUCGGAUCGGUCCCGACUCGGGGUGGGCUUCUGCCCCGGUCGUGGUUUCGCCGAGAAGACGGUCAAACUUGACUAUCUAGAGGUAGUAAAAGUCGUAACA
rnacentral:rRNA from 1 species